AUACGUAGGGAGCGAGCGUUGUCCGGAAUUACUGGGCGUAAAGGGCGCGUAGGCGGCGCUUCAAGUCGUCUGUCAAAUGGGAGGGCUUAACCCUUUUUCGCAGACGAAACUGGAGAGCUUGAGAAGCAGAGAGGCAAACAGAAUUCCUGGUGUAGCGGUGAAAUGCGUAGAUAUCAGGAAGAAUACCAGUGGCGAAGGCGGUUUGCUGGCUGCAUACUGACGCUGAAGCGCGAAAGCCAGGGGAGCGAACGGGAUUAGAUACCCCGGUAGUCCUGGCAGUAAACGAUGUAUGCUGAGUGUGAGACUAGCGAUAGUUUCGUGCCGAAGUUAACGCGAUAAGCAUACCGCCUGGGGAGUACGGUCGCAAGAUUGAAACUCAAAUGAAUUGACAGGG
rnacentral:rRNA from 1 species